UCGAUGAAGAACGCAGCUUGCUGUGUUACUUACCACGAAUUGCAGACGCUUAGAGUGUAAACUUUCGAACGCAUAGCACCGACUGGGUCUCCAGUCGGUACGUCUGUUCAGGGUUG
rnacentral:rRNA from 1 species